AGAUGAUCCUGAGUGCGAGAUCUCAUCUGUGGAUGGUUUAUCUUGCAUACAUAUAUUGUCUACAAAAAGGCAUCCAAGGUUCCUCAUGAUCUAUCUACAGAGCAAUUGCUAGAUAUUAACCCUUUGGACACUGGCCAAGCAGAUACCAACUGGGAACCAGCUGUUUUAAAAUUAUAGUUCUACUCUGAAAAACAUGUUCACUCUUGGUGCUAAAUGAGAAAAUAUGACAAAGCAGGAGAGUGAAGAAUACAUCAAAGCCCAAACACAUCCCUGUUUGACACCACUGAAGGACUGCAGUUUCUCUGAUUCCCACUCAGCUAUUUUAGUCGAACGGUUUAAGCUGCUGAUACUUUUGAGAAUAAAUGGACAGGACAGUCAACUUCUGCACCUUCAACCAGAUCUUCAGCUGGUGAAAAUCACCACAACAUUAUUGAAGUCAGUGGAGCUAUACAUUUUAUGAGCUAUGGAUCUAGCUCUUUGAAAUUUUUCUUCCUCUAACAAAGUGCCUUUAUAACCAUUCGUAUCUUCUUGGCAAGGAUCUGCAGGAGAUAAGGAAGGUCAAUGAGAUUCACUUGUUUGGAAGACAAAAGCAGUGAUCAAGAUGCAGUUUUAUCAGAGAUGACAAAAACAAGUAGGGAAAAUAGAGAAAGAAAUCUCUUCUCUGUAAUCUAGUAAGGCCAAACAGGCAACAUUUGAAGGAAAAUGGUGUUUCAUAUAAUCACUCAGGCAUUACAAAUGUAUAAUAUGGAAUGAGUUAUUUUAUCUCGAGGGAUUAAAAAUUUCUA